rnacentral:rRNA from 1 species
GGCAGUAGCCAUAUUAUCCUGCAACUCACAACUGGCAACCCACUGAAGCUAAGCAGGUGUGAGCCUAGUCAGUACCUGGAUGCGAGACCUCCUGGGAAAACCUAAGGUUCCUGCUGGAA